CAGCCGCCGCGGUAAUACGUAGGGUGCGAGCGUUAAUCGGAAUUACUGGGCGUAAAGCGUGCGCAGGCGGUUCGUUAAGACAGAUGUGAAAUCCCCGGGCUUAACCUGGGAACUGCAUUUGUGACUGGCGAGCUAGAGUAUGGCAGAGGGGGGUAGAAUUCCACGUGUAGCAGUGAAAUGCGUAGAGAUGUGGAGGAAUACCGAUGGCGAAGGCAGCCCCCUGGGCCAAUACUGACGCUCAUGCACGAAAGCGUGGGGAGCAAACAGGAUUAGAUACCCCAGUAGUCCUGUCUCUUAUACA
rnacentral:rRNA from 1 species